CCAGACUCCUACGGGAGGCAGCAGUGGGGACUCUUGCACAAUGGUUUCCCCCCUGAUGCCGCACCGCCGCGUGCGUGCAGAAGUCAUUCGUGCUGUAAAGCUCUAUCAGCAGGGAAGCAAAUGACGGUCCCUGAGUAAGAAGCCCCGGCUAACUACGUGCCAGCAGCCGCGGUAAUACGUAGGGGGCAAGCGUUAUCCGGAUUUACUGGGGGGAAAGGGAGCGGAGACGGCCAGACAAGUCUGAAGUGAAAAUCCAGCGCUUAGCGUGGGAAGUGCUUGGGAAACUGCCGGGCUGGAGGGCAGGAGGGGCAGGCGGAAUUCCUAGGGGAGCGGUGAAAUGCGGAGAUAUUAGGAGGAACACCAGUGGCGAAGGCGGCCUGCGGGACGAUGACUGACGGUGAGGCUCGAAAGCGUGGGGAGCACACAGGAGUAGAUACCCCAGUAA
rnacentral:rRNA from 1 species